UUUCCAUUCAUUGCAGGACAUCACAUGACAAUUGCAUCAUUGCGCUGCAAUUGCAUCAGCUUCUGUAAAUUGUAUUAUUCUUAGGGUAUAAAAGGGUUGGCUUUAUAGUUAGGUUGAGUCUUGCCGUAAGCUUUGUCGAACUCAGUGUACCUUGUCGCUAGCUUGAAGAAUUGUGUUUGCCGUUACAUUUUCGCCGUUAGCCAUUUAAGAUAUUUUUAGUCGUUUGCCGUGAACUGAUGAAUUAGGAGAAGUGUAAGAAAUUAGCGAAUUGGAUAACAGUUUUUGCAGUAUUUAUCGUGUACGUUUCUGCGAACGACAUACGAACUCACGUUUGUAAAACCCCCUUUUUAAGUGGUUUUACAUAAAGGUUCGGUUUUACGUCAUUUUCAUUCACGUCUUUCACGCUUUUAUGAAAUUAAUUUAUAUCUGUAUCAUAUUUGUUUUAGAAUCUCAUGUCCUAUAAUUCAUUUUCAGCGCCAGUAUUAAUCCAUCAGAGUACACAGAGCAGGAACUGAACUCGAUUAGGGGACCAUCUAAAGUAUGAUCCAUUCAGAAAAGGUGAUGGCAGAAUAGACUGCUUCUUUUAAUAUAGCUUGAAUUUUGUUCUAAUCAGGGGCGGAUCCAGUGGGGUGCGAAGGGGGCUCGAGCACCCCUCAGAUUUGAGAAAAAACUUUUUGGGGAUUAAAGCUUAUUCUACCGCAAUUUUGUUUAUUAUUAUUUAAACCAUUUAAAUAAUACCGGGAAGUAUGCACAUCUCCUGAAAUUGUUAUUUCCGCUUCAAUGCCCCGUCUCACAACUGUUCAACAUUGUUAUUUCAGUCCAUGCAUUGAAGUGUUAUGAAACUCCCCCUGGUUGUCCUGUAUAGCAUUCUACAGACUCGGAAAGCAUUGUCUCCUCUUAUAUCCAGCCACUUAAGGAACCCGUGGCCUGUAAAUUAUACGAGUUUCUGCACCCGUGGAAGUUAAUCUAGCCAAUCACGGUGCCAGGUCGAGGGGUUCUAAACUUUGGCGCGAGAACCCAUGGAUUUCAAAAAUCCAAAACAUCAAAGAAUACCGACAAACCAGGGGGAGUUUCUUCGCUUCAAUCUACAGUCAAAUGUAUAAGUGGUUUUAUGACCAGGGGGAGUUGAGCUUGAACAGGGGGAGUUGAGGUUGACCAGGGGGAGUUGAAUUAUGAUACAGCACGCGACGAAUGCUUAGGCGCAAAUUUGCAAUAUGUUUUCGUGGAUCUUUUGACGAUCUUUACCUGAUGCUCGAUGCUGUAACGGCAGAACUUGUAAACGCUGUGGUUUAUAUAACAGAACGGUUUCAAGUUUCAACUCCGUGUUUCACGUCUUAUUCAUAGACCAUGAGGUAUGAUUUAUAUUCAGAGGAUAAAGCUUGCCCGAGCUCUUGUUAUUCUUUUUUUAAUCAUUCAAGAACUACAUAAAAAACAUCUCAAAAACUUGCCCUUACUAUUAUUGACCAAAAGGGGUUUCCUUUUUAUACCUACUUAUAUUCCUGCGAAUCCUUUUUUCUCUAAGAAUUUCAAAUACAUAAAAAUACUCAAAACGCCAGGCCCAUAGCGAAACGUUCAGGGCCUUCUUUGUUUGGUUUGAAUGCUGUGUUUGAAUCCCUGUGUUCAACUUUUGCACUGCACUUCAAGGGCUUCAUUCCACCAGCCACGUUAUUUUUUUCGUCAAGCUGAUCAAGUUCUAAUAAAUGGCUGCAAAGAGUCAAAAAUUAAAUUUUGCUUUGAAAAUUUGUGGGCUCGGGCCUUUUGCCACUGCGGGCCAUCAUAUCAUCUUUGACUACAGUUUCUAUACUUUUGUACCCUAAGUGAAUAUAAGAGGGGCGAGCUGCAAAUUGCGUUCAAUUGGCAUAAAAGCUGAUACCAAAAAUUACUAUAUAAAUCAAGGCAUCCAGGCUUUUUAGUUUAUGGAAGGCUUUCAUUUCAUUAUGGCUUAUUAGCAGGGGUACGGAGUUUGUGCAUAGCAACACCCUGGGUUACCAAGCCUUACGUUUUAGAACCCCUCAGAAUAAUUUCUAGAUCCGCCCCUGCUAAUGUUCUUCUGAAUUAUUAGAUACGUAACUUCGACAUUGAGGGUUGGUCCAAAAUAUAAAGUGGAUAAAAUUUUUCAUUUCCAGCUCAUUUUCUACGUAGGUAAAACACGGCACAAUAUUGACAGAACCAGGGGCGGACUGGCUCCAAAUUUAGGGCCUGGGCCAAUUCGUCGGGAAAGGGCCCCGAAAAUAAAAAGUAAGUUUCCCCAAAGUUGUUUGUUGCAUCACUUUUUUAUACUGGCUUAAAAUGUUAUUGGAAUAUUGCUAUUAAUUCUAAUUAGUAACCACUGGAAAUUUAAUUCUGACGUAGAAUAAGAGAUGAGAGAAAAUCAUGACAUUGCGGGGGGAGGGAAUUAUUGUUUUCUAGCUGAAGGACUUUUAAAGAGGGGUCUCAGUGAUAAAAGACGGCGAAUUUGGAGGGUUCACCCUUUUCGAUCACUGAAACUCUGGUACCCAGGGUAGAACUUAAUGAAAGAUCUAAGUUAUUCAAGAAAUAUUUAAAUUUUUUUCAAAAACAUCUUGUUAUGUAAUUUUCCAGUCAAAACAUAAUAAGGGUUGAUGUUUUGGCGCCUCAAAUUUCAAAUGUUCUCAAAAGCAUUAUCACUCAUUCACCCUAAUUAUGUGAUUAAAUAAAUAUUCGAUAAACUUUCAUGCUAUAACGUUCCAGGUACAAGAAACAAACAAACUGAUAAUGCAUGGCCUAGAUCACACAAAUUUUCACUUUACACCAAAAGGAAUACAGUAAAAAAGUUUUGCACGGGGAUCACGUAUUUUCUUUCCUCUGGCCUCUGACUCGAGAUGGAGUAUUAAGUUGUAGCUCAAUUAGAAUAUUUUUUGUUGCAACUUAGUUUCAAUAAUAAUAUUUAAUAUUUAUACAUGAAAAAAACAUUAUUUAUUGCAAUCGUCCUACUGGCUGCAAAUUAGCUUUCCUGCCAUAGCCUUUUCUCUGUUGCUCGUUUAAAAUCGCCAGACGAAUGUUUACUUGACAAUUUCUGCACCUUGAGUUUGCUUCUGAUCCAUUUCAGAAUACUCUCGUGAAAAAUAAAAUGUUUUUUAAGAAAAUUGUCGAUGGCAUGCUUCUCUGUUUACAAAUUUAAUUCUGAAAAAUAUAAAAUUAUAUCCUAUUUGGAAGGCUUUUACGGAUUUUCAUGAAAGAGGAUCUUGCAUCAUUUUAAAAAAUUUAUUCAACUAGGUAGCAUUCUGUUUUGCUAAGAUCUUUAGAGAAAAUACGGUUCCUAAUUUUCACGAUGCAGCGCAAGUUCCUCAACACUGUGUGUUGUUGAUGUUGCCUGAGUUGUUCUGCUUGUCCUUGACUUUUGUCAUACUUUUGGACGACUUGUUCCGAUUUCAGAUAACGGCGAAGAUUAUGCCUCUUCCAAGCGAAUCUAUUGUUGACAUGAAAUUCGGAACAAAUCCGUAGUUCUGAUUGGGUGAUUUGUUCCAAUUUUAGACAAAGAGAAUUUUAGCAAAGCUUGAAGUGUAUGACAUUGGCAGUUGACAAAGCAUGCCCAGGGGAAGCUCCGUGUUUACAAGAAUAUCUGUGAUAUGGUAGAUGGCUAAAAUCCCAUCGAAACGUGAAGCUCAUUUGCUUGAUGGUAGAGAUCAACUUUUUCUCGGUACGCUGUUUGUUAGGCUACCAAGUUAUUUAAAGUGAUAUUUUUUAGGAUGCAUCGACAUUCGAACACUUCUUAUCGGCUGGUUAUUAUUGGAAGUUUGUUUCGACUGCGAAACGCUAGGCCUGUUGCCAUUACCUCCAUUUCUGAUACGUUGUGCCAGAUUUUAAGAAUGCUAUUUCAUUCUAAAUUAUUUUCAAUAAUAAUAAAAUCGUUGUUUAUUGCAAUCGUCUUCAUGGCUGCAAAUUAGCUUUCCUGCCAUAGCCUUUUCUCUGUUGCUCGUUUAAAAUCGCCAGACGAAUGUUUACUUGACAAUUUCUGCACCUUGAGUUUGCUUCUGAUCCAUUUCAGAAUACUCUCGUGGAAAAUAAAAUGUUUUCUAAGAAAAUAGCCAAUGCCAUGCUUCUCUGUUUACAGAUUAAAUUCAAAAAAAUAUAAAAUUUUAUCCUAUUUGGAAGGCUUUUACGAAUUUUCAUGAAAGAGGAUCUUCCAUUAUUUUCAAAAUUUUAUUCAACUAGGUAGCAUUCUGUUUUGAUAAGAUCUUUAGAGACAAUACGGUUCCUUUUUUUCACGAUGCAGCGCAAGAUCCUCAACACUGUGUGUUGUUAAUGUUGUCUGAGUUGUUCUGCUUGUCCUUGACUUUUGUCAUACUUUUGGACGACUUGUUCCGAUUUCAGAUAACGGCGAAGAUUAUGCCCCUUCCAAGGCGAAUCUAUUGUUGACAUGAAAUUCGGAACAAAUCCGUAGUUCUGAUUGGGUGAUUUGUUCCAAUUUUAGACAAAGAGAAUUUUAGCAAAGCUUGAAGUGUAUGACAUUGGCAGUUGACAAAGCAUGCCCAGGGAAAGCUCCUUGUUUACAAGCAUAUCUGUGAUAUGGUAGAUGGCUAAAAUCCCAUUGAAACGUGAAGCUCAUUUGCUUGAUGGUAGAGAUCAACUUUUUCUCGACAAAGAGAAUUUUAGCAAAGCUUGAAGUGUAUGACAUUGGCAGUUGACAAAGCAUGCCCAGGGAAAGCUCCGUGUUUACAAGCAUAUCUGUGAUAUGGUAGAUGGCUAAAAUCCCAUCGAAACGUGAAGCUCAUUUGCUUGAUGGUAGAGAUCAACUUUUUCUCGACAAAGAGAAUUUUAGCAAAGCUUGAAGUGUAUGACAUUGGCAGUUGACAAAGCAUGCCCAGGGAAAGCUCCGUGUUUACAAGCAUAUCUGUGAUAUGGUAGAUGGCUAAAAUCCCAUCGAAACGUGAAGCUCAUUUGCUUGAUGGUAGAGAUCAACUUUUUCUCGACAAAGAGAAUUUUAGCAAAGCUUGAAGUGUAUGACAUUGGCAGUUGACAAAGCAUGCCCAGGGAAAGCUCCGUGUUUACAAGCAUUUCUGUGAUAUGGUAGAUGGCUAAAAUCCCAUCGAAACGUGAAGCUCAUUUGCUUGAUGGUAGAGAUCAACUUUUUAUCGGUACGCUGUUUGUUAGGCUACCAAGUUAUUUAAAGUGAUAUUUUUUAGGAUGCAUCGACAUUCGAACAUUUCUUAUCGGCUUGUUAUUAUUGAAAGUUUGUUUCGACUGUGAAACGCUAGGCCUGUUGCCAUUACCUCAAUUUCCAAUACGUUGUGCCAGAUUUUACAAUGCUAUUUCAUUCUAAAUUAUUUCCAAUAAUAAUAAAAUCGUUGUUUAUUGCAAUCGUCUUCAUGGCUGCAAAUUAUCUUUCCUGUCAUAGCCUUUUUUCAGUUGCUCAUUUAAAUCGCCAGAUGUAUAUUUACUUGACAAUUUCUGCACCUUGAGUUUGCUUCUGAUCCAUUUCAGAAUACUCUCGUGGAAAAUAAAAUGUUUUCUAAGAAAAUAGCCAAUGCCAUGCUUCUCUGUUUACAGAUUAAAUUCAAAAAAAUAUAAAAUUUUAUCCUAUUUGGAAGGCUUUUACGAAUUUUCAUGAAAGAGGAUCUGCAUUAUUUUCAAAUCUUUAUUCAACUAGGUAGCAUUCUGUUUUGUCAAGAUCUUUAGAGACAAUACGGUGUCUAAUUUUCACGAUGCAGCGCAAGAUCCUCAACACUGUGUGUUGUUAAUGUUGUCUGAGUUGUUCUGCUUGUCCUUGACUUUUGUCAUACUUUUGGACGACUUGUUCCGAUUUCAGAUAACGGCGAAGAUUAUGCCCCUUCCAAGGCGAAUCUAUUGUUGACAUGAAAUUCGGAACAAAUCCGUAGUUCUGAUUGGGUGAUUUGUUCCAAUUUUAGACAAAGAGAUUUCUAGCAAAGCUUGAAGUGUAUGACAUUGGCAGUUGACAAAGCAUGCCCAGGGAAAGCUCCGUGUCUACAAGCAUUUCUGUGAUAUGGUAGAUGGCUAAAAUCCCAUCGAAACGUGAAGCUCAUUUGCUUGAUGGUAGAGAUCAACUUUUUCUCGACAAAGAGAAUUUUAGCAAAGCUUGAAGUGUAUGACAUUGGCAGUUGACAAAGCAUGCCCAGGGAAAGCUCCGUGUCUACAAGCAUUUCUGUGAUAUGGUAGAUGGCUAAAAUCCCAUCGAAACGUGAAGCUCAUUUGCUUGAUGGUAGAGAUCAACUUUUUCUCGGUACGCUGUUUGUUAGGCUACCAAGUUAUUUAAAGUGAUAUUUUUUAGGAUGCAUCGACAUUCGAACAUUUCUUAUCGGCUUGUUAUUAUUGAAAGUUUGUUUCGACUGCGAAACGCUAGGCCUGUUGCCAUUACCUCAAUUUCCGAUACGUUGUGCCAGAUUUUACAAUGCUAUUUCAUUCUAAAUUAUUUCCAAUAAUAAUAAAAUCGUUGUUUAUUGCAAUCGUCUUCAUGGCUGCAAAUUAGCUUUCCUGUCAUAGCCUUUUUUCAGUUGCUCAUUUAAAUCGCCAGAUGUAUAUUUACUUGACAAUUUCUGCACCUUGAGUUUGCUUCUGAUCCAUUUCAGAAUACUCUCGUGGAAAAUAAAAUGUUUUCUAAGAAAAUAGCCAAUGCCAUGCUUCUCUGUUUACAGAUUAAAUUCAAAAAAAUAUAAAAUUUUAUCCUAUUUUGAAGGCUUUUACGAAUUUUCAUGUAAGGGGAUCUUGCAUUAUUUUCAAAUCUUUAUUCAACUAGGUAGCAUUCUGUUUUGCCAAGAUCUUUAGAGACAAUACGGUUCCUAAUUUUCACUAUGCAGCGCAAGAUCCUCAACACUGUGUGUUGUUAAUGUUGUCUGAGUUGUUCUGCUUGUCCUUGACUUUUGUCAUACUUUUGGACGACUUGUUCCGAUUUCAGAUAACGGCGAAGAUUAUGCCCCUUCCAAGGCGAAUCUAUUGUUGACAUGAAAUUCGGAACAAAUCCGUAGUUCUGAUUGGGUGAUUUGUUCCAAUUUUAGACAUAGAGAAUUCUAGCAAAGCUUGAAGUGUAUGACAUUGCUAGUUGACAAAGCAUGCCCAGGGGAAGCUCCGUGUUUACAAGAAUAUCUGUGAUAUGGUAGAUGGCUAAAAUCCCAUCGAAACGUGAACAGGGGCGCAGUGGCUGGGGGAGCAGGGGGGCAGCCUUCCUCUUAAAAUUUUGUCGGAUAGUCGGAAAAUCCAACGUUUGUCGGAAAAUUUGAAAUAUCAGACAAAAUGUAAGGUUUUCAUCGAUUCUGUCCAAAAGGUCGCAUAUUUGUUAAACCUAUCGUAAAAUUGGGCAUGCUCUACCCUUCUUACUUUUUUUCAUUAGAGUAUUUAUCGGAAUCUUCGCAUUGCUUAAAUUUGUAAAGGAAAUUAACGCUUUGGUCUCAGUUAUUUUAUAAACUCCCAUUUCCGACAGCUAAAGUUCAACUCAGUUCAUUUCGAAAUGAAUUCGCUGGUGUUGUAGAAGACGCAAAAAGUUAUUGUUUUCGCCAUGACUUAGAAGAGCAAAAUUUUGUCGAGCGACGAAUACGCAGAAAGAAAAAGAUGCCAGGGGAAAAUUGCAUGGAUGAAUUAGAAGGAAAUAGGGAAUCCGUAUAUCAUCGUGAUAGUAGAUACAGCUAUCAGCUCAAUGAAUACAAGAUUCACGUCUCAUAAGCAGGGCCGCGGACAGGAUUUAUAGGCCCCGGGUCAAAACGAACGAUAGAAAGCUCGUGGUCCGAGGAAAAUUGCGAUGGUGGCUAUUACUUCUUUGGUAAUUUAAAGGGGGCCUAUAACAGGGGGGGGGGCAAAAGCCGCAAAACCGUGCAAAAAUCAACCAAAUGCCGCAAUCCGCAAUGAAGUUAAGAGGUCCUAUAAAGGGAAAUUGAAAUAUGAAAUAAUUAAAGUUUUCGGGGAGAAAAUAUAACUAUUUAGAUUUUUUGGCUUUUAAAUAUGAAUUAACUAUGGUUCCCAAUAUGAAAUAUGAAAUAACAAAAUAACCGAACGGUUGGUAAAAAUGCCAAUAGCAUAGAAUCUACCGCAAAUAGUUUUGGCAAAUAGAUAUAUUAUCUCAACAAAAUAAACGAGAACAUCAAAUGGCAUCAUAAAAAUGUUUUUAUCUACAUUAAUCGUUCCACAUCUUUAUACUAUGAAUUCUUUCUAAGACCACUAAACAACAGUUUUGUAAACCAUUUAAGUUGCAGGAAUAAUUUGAUGAUAAAAUCUUUCCUCUAAAUCUUCAAAUUUCUAAACAGAUUUUGUUCAUUUUUCAAUUUUUUUUAUUUGAGGCUAGACAUGUUUCCCGCGAAGUUAUUCUUAUCUUAAACAAAUUAGACGAAGCACGUAAUACACCAAUUCAACUUACAGCCUCAUUUCUGCAUUAAAUCCACAAUACAAGCACAAACAAUCUGAAAAAAUUGUAUCCAGCCAAUAAUGACGAUAAAACCAAAUCUGAGCAUAAAAAGGUCGUACAUAAUGAAGUCACAGAAUAGGAAUUAGGCAGAAGGGGAACUCCUGCCUAUCAGGUGAAGCCUAAAAAAACUAGCGCAUGCGUUAAUUUAUACGAGGCUUAGCAUGUUUCUGUCGGGGAAAUUUUAAAAAAGAAUGAAAGUAGACAACUUUAUUUAAGACGAAAUGCCCUAUGAUAGUAAACAAAUUCAGUUAUGUAUCAUAAUUCAUUUAUAGCUGAUUAAUUAAUGUUAAUUUAUCAUGGCUAAGUUCGUCUAAUGAAAUCGAGGUUAAAGGGGAAUUAAGGAAUUCUAUUGUUGACUCAGGCUUCAAAAACAACAAAGGAACCGACGAGAGUUACCCUUCUGCUUAUUCCCUAUUCUGUGAUGAAGUUUGGUGAAAUUUCCUAAACGAGGCCGUAAGUCGAAUUGGUGUAUACUUGAGAGAAACAAGUGACCGAUAUCUCAUAAUGUCAAAAAAAAUUGUUCCUGACCAUACUUUUUAAUUCAAUAUGGCGCCAAUAAACAAUGCUAAAAAUUGAUAGAUAUUAUGUUUUUGACGCAAGACGAAGUAACUAUAUUAGAUCAAACGAUAAGGAAAAAUUAUGAAAAGCCACGUGAAGGCAACCGUAAAGGGAAUUUGGCCCACUACAGCUCCUGCUUUUUCACACUCGAUGAGUACCCCUUGAAAAGACACCUAAAAUAUCUACUCUUUAGAAACAUGUAGUCAAUCUCUAGUUUUUUUAGCGAUUUCUUCUUGAGAACACCGAAAGAGUGGA